AAUAUUUGACAAUGGGGGCAACCCUGAUCCAGCCAUGCCGCGUGUGUGAAUAAGGACUACGGAUAAACCAGCACUUUAAGUUGGAAGGAAGGGCUUUAGGUUAAUACCCUGAAGUUUUGACGUUACCAACAGAAUAAGCACCGGCUAACUCUGUGCCAGCAGCCGCGGUAAUACAGAGGGUGCAAUCGUUAAUCGGAAUUACUGGGCGUAAAGCGCGCGUAGGUUGUUCAGUAAGAUGGGUGUGAAAUCCCCGGGCUUAACCUGGGAACUGCUUUCAUAACUGCUGAGCUAGAGUACGGUAGAGGGUAGUGGAAUUUCCUGUGUAGCGGUGAAAUGCGUAGAUAUAGGAAGGAACACCAGUGGCGAAGGCGACUACCUGGACUGAUACUGACACUGAGGUGCGAAAGCGUGGGGAGCAAAC
rnacentral:rRNA from 1 species